GCAGCACCUUCCACAGUAUCUCCCGGGGGACCCGGCCAUACAUUUUCUCCAGAUCCACAAAACACAUGUAGAACGGAUGGGCAUACUCCCAGGCUCCCUCCAGGAUCCUUGCAAGAAUGAAGAGCUGGUCCGUUGUUCCAAGACCAGGACGGAC